rnacentral:rRNA from 1 species
AUCCUGCAGGAGAUUGCUGCUAUAAGGAUUCGACUAAGCCGUGCAAGUCAGAGGGACUCUUCGGAGUCACAGGCGAAAUGCUCAGUAACACGUCAAUAAUCUAACCUUUGGUCUGGGAUAACCUUGGAAAACUGAGGCUAAAACCGGAUAGGAGAAAAAAAUUGGAAAGUUUUUCUCUCAAAGUAAUGCCCAAGGAUGAGUUGGCGGUGGAUUAGGUUGUUGGUGGGGUAAAGGCCCACCAAGCCGAAGAUCCGUACGGGCCUUGAGAGAGGUAGCCCGGAGAAGGGCACUGAGAUACUGGCCCUAGCCCUACGGGGUGCAGCAUGCGCGAAACCUUUACAAUGCACGAAAGUGUGAUAAGGGGAUCCUUAGUGCUAAUGUUUUACAUUGGCUUUUGUUAAGAGUAAAUAUCUUGGCGAAUAAGUGGUGGGCAAGACUGGUGCCAGCCGCCGCGGUAACACCAGCGCCACAAGUGGUGAUCGUUUUUAUUGGGCCUAAAGCGUCCGUAGCCGGUCUAGUAAAUUUUUUGUGAAAUUGUUGGGCUUAACUCAACAACGUGCAGAAAAGACUGCUAGACUUGGAACUGGGAAGAGUCAGAAGUAUUUUUGGGGGAGCGGUAAAAUGCUAUAAUCCCAAAAGGACUACCAAUGGCGAAGGCAUCUGACUGGAACAGAUUCGACGGUGAGGGACGAAAGCCAGGGGAGCAAUCCGGAUUAGAUACCCGAGUAGUCCUGGCCGUAAACGCUGCGAGCUAGGUGUUACACAUUCUACGAGAAUGUGUAGUGUCGAAGCGAAGGUGUUAAGCUCGCCGCCUGGGUAGUACGGCCGCAAGACUGAAACUUAAAGGAAUUGGCGGGGGAGCACCACAAGGGGUGCGGCGUGCGGUUUAAUCUAAUUCAACGCAGAACAUCUCACCAGUAGCGACGGCAGGAUGAAAGUCAAGCUGAAGACUUUACUUGACGAGCCGAGAGGUAGUGCAUGGCCGCCGUCAGCUCGUGCCGUAAGGUGUCCUGUUAAGUCAGGCAACGAGCGAGACCUGUAUCCACAAUUGCUAACAGAUUCUUUAGAAUGACUGAGCACAUUGUGGGGACUGCCCUGGAAACAGGGAGGAAGGUGCAGGCAACGGUAGGUCUGUAUGCUCCGAAUCCACUGGGCUACACGCGCGCAACAAUGGCUAAGACAAUGGGAUACAACUCCGAAAGGAGAAGUUAAGCCUCGAAACUUAGUCCAAGUCCAGAUUGAGGGUUGCAACUCACCCUCAUGACGAUGGAAUCCCUAGUAAUCGGACCUCAUUAUGGUCCGGUGAAUAUGUCCCUGCUCCUUGCACACACCGCCCGUCAAACCACCCGAGUAGGGUUUAGGUGAGGUUUAAUUUUGAAUUAACUCGAAUCUAAGCUCAGCGAGGAGGGUUAAGUCGUCACAAGGUA